AUUAGCGGAGGAAAAGAAACUAACAAGGAUUCCCUCAGUAACGGCGAGUGAACCGGGAAGAGCCCAGCACCGAAUCCCCUGCUCCUUGCGGGCAGCGGGACCUGUGGUGUUAGGGACGGUAGCACAGGGUGGAGAGUCGUCAGCGUCCGUGUCCUCUUGAUUGGGGCCUCUCCCAUAGCGGGUGUCGGGCCUCUAGGCACGCUUGGCUCUCUCCCUAGCUCCGUCCUCGGAGUCGGGUUGUUUGGUAAUGCAGCCCUAAGUGGGUGGUAAGCUCCAUCUAAGGCUAAAUAUGACCACGAGACCGAUAGCGAACAAGUACCGUAAGGGAAAGUUGAAAAGAACUUUGAAGAGAGAGUUCAAGAGUACGUGAAACCGUUUAGAGGGAAACGGAUGGGACCGAAAAAUGGUCGCCGGCGGAAUUCAGCUCGCUACCACGUGCCCGCACCGUUGGCCGUCUCCCUAAACUUGGGGGCGGUCCGGUGCUUCGGGCCGGGUGGAGGGUGCACUUUCCGCCGCGCGAACGGCCACGACCGGUUCCGUGCCAGGCAGAACGACCGCGAGCAAGGUGGCGCGGCGGUGUCGGCCCUUCCGGGGGUCGGCGCCGCGCGCGUGUUACAGGCUCCGGUGGUGGCGGCUCUGGCGCGGGACCGAGUAGAACGAACUUUGCAUCUUGCACUUCGGCAUGUCCGGAUCGGAAGCGCCCCCUUCUCGGGGUGCCCCGAGCACCCGGCGGCCGUCGCGGGAUCAGUGGCUCGAAAUAUGGUCGGUCACCCAUCCGAC
rnacentral:rRNA from 1 species